GUCUUUUUGAUUAUAAUUUAAAGUCUGACCUGCCCAAUGAGUAGUUUAAUGGCCGCGGUAAUUUGACCGUGCAAAGGUAGCAUAAUCAUUAGUUUUUUAAUUGAAAGCUGGUAUGAAUGGUUGGACGAGAAAGUGACUGUCUCUAUUUAAUUUUUGUUAGAAUUUUACAUUUAAGUUAAAAGGCUUAAAUUUUUUUAAAAGACGAGAAGACCCUAUAGAAUUUUAUAUUGUAGUUAAUGUAAAUAUAUUAGUAUUGUUAAUUUUACAUUAAUUACAGUGUUUUGUUGGGGUGACAGUAAAAUUUAAUUAACUUUUAUUAUUAACAUAACACUUAUUUGUGAUUUAAUGAUCCAUUUUAGUAUGAUUAGAAGACAAAAUUACCUUAGGGAUAACAGCGUAAUUUUUUUUGAGAGUUCCUAUUGAAAGAAGAGUUUGCGACCUCGAUGUUGGAUUAAAGUUAAUUUGUGGUGCAGAAGCUACAUAAUUAAGUCUGUUCGACUUUUAAAACUUUACAUGAUCUGAGU
rnacentral:rRNA from 1 species